AUUGAACGCUGGCGGCAGGCUUAACACAUGCAGGUCGAGCGGAGAUGAGGUGCUUGCACCUUAUCUUAGCGGCGGACGGGUGAGUAAUGCUUAGGAAUCUGCCUAUUAGUGGGGGACAACAUUCCGAAAGGAAUGCUAAUACCGCAUACGUCCUACGGGAGAAAGCAGGGGAUCUUCGGACCUUGCGCUAAUAGAUGAGCCUAAGUCGGAUUAGCUAGUUGGUGGGGUAAAGGCCUACCAAGGCGACGAUCUGUAGCGGGUCUGAGAGGAUGAUCCGCCACACUGGGACUGAGACACGGCCCAGACCCCUACGGGAGGCAGCAGUGGGGAAUAUUGGACAAUGGGGGAAACCCUGAUCCAGCCAUGCCGCGUGUGUGAAGAAGGCCUUAUGGUUGUAAAGCACUUUAAGCGAGGAGGAGGCUACUGAGACUAAUACUCUUGGAUAGUGGACGUUACUCGCAGAAUAAGCACCGGCUAACUCUGUGCCAGCCGCCGCCGUAA
rnacentral:rRNA from 1 species